UACGAAGGGGGCUAGCGUUGCUCGGAAUCGCUGGGCGUAAAGGGUGCGUAGGCGGGUCUUUAAGUCAGGGGUGAAAUCCUGGAGCUCAACUCCAGAACUGCCUUUGAUACUGAAGAUCUUGAGUUCGGGAGAGGUGAGUGGAACUGCGAGUGUAGAGGUGAAAUUCGUAGAUAUUCGCAAGAACACCAGUGGCGAAGGCGGCUCACUGGCCCGAUACUGACGCUGAGGCACGAAAGCGUGGGGAGCAAACAGGG
rnacentral:rRNA from 1 species